CUAGUGCCACGUUCCUCAGAACAUAUCCCUGCUGUCAAGGAGUGCAUGGCAACAGAACUACCAACCUUACACAUAUAUUACAUUCCUUUUUAAAAAGUUAAUGGGUUACCUUGGUGGGACGAUUCUGGUGCAUUUCCUCUCUUCUAAUUCCUUGACUUGGAACUUUCAGACUUCCUCUACCUCUCCCGACCCAACACAGAGAUAAUUCUGUAACUACAUAUUUAUUUUUUCUUAGAAUAUUCGUGAGUAUUUUUGUUUUUCCAAUUUAAACAUAUAUGAUUUCAAAGUUAUAUAAAACUGUGUUCUUUAGAAGUAUCUAGCAAGACAGUACAUACUGUGAAAUCUAAUUUUACAACUGAAUUAUUUUACACAUAUAGGAAAUUAUAAAUUUCAGUUGAAAGAAAAAUCUCAUGUAUA